AAGCAACUUAUGGCUUAAACACAAUUCUGAGUGGCCAGGUCCUGUGUUUGGAGGGGAGGAAGAAAGCUAAGCACAGGUCUACCUCUACUGGCAGGUUGACUCUGGGAGAUAACACAUCCUGGAAUGGUUCUGUGUUCCUUUCUUGCCAUGAGGAUUCAUCUGGCAUGGGUAACAGUCACAACAAUUGGCUAUGGAGACAAAGUUCCCCAGACAUGAAUUGGGAAGACAAUAGCUUCCUGGUUCUCAGUAUUUGCCAUCUCCUUCUUUGCCCUGCCAGCUGGCAUUCUGGGGUCUGGUUUUGCCCUGAAAGUACAGCAGAAACAAUGUCAGAAGCAUUUCAAUAGACAAAUCCCAGCUGCAGUUUCCCUAAUUCAGAUCCUGUGGCGCUGCUAUGUAGCAGAGAAAUCCUGCACCUCCACAGCCACCUGGAAGAUCUAUGUGACAGCUCCCAUGCAAAAUCCCAAAAAGUCUCCAGCGCCAUCUAGUCCUGGUCUGAGAAAACAGGCCAGAUGAUACAGACGAAAAGGGAAGCUGGGCUGUGGGAAUGGUUCUGCACCUGUAAUAAACCCAGGAGAAAAUUCCUUGUCUGUUCCCCAGAUCACUUAUGAUCACGCUGAUGAACAAGAGGACAAAAAAGAUGUGUCUUUCUACAUAGAUGAACCCAAAGCAUAUUUAUUGGGCUGGAGCAGCUUCCCUUGCUGACCAUGUGACAGCAGAUUUUGCUGAGUGUAUUUUGGUAUUGUGAUGUGAUGGAUAGAAGAAGCAAUGUGUUGAGCAACUGGUACCAAUCCUGGAGGCCACUAUGAUGUUGGGGACUCUGCUGCCUGUACUCAGGACUCUGCCAGUGUAUGCCGGCUCACUAAAGCUGUGUUCUUUCAAUGGUCAUAGUUACACUGAGCAACUCUUUCCUCUGUCAUAGGAGAGUGAUGAAGAAAGCAUGUAUCUUUUUCUGCCUGACAGUAAAAUGAAAGAAUU